UGUCAAAGUAGCUUGCCCUGUCUGGGCAUGGCUCCUUCGACACCGGUAGUUGAGGGUGACAUCGGUGACAUCACUUCUGGUGUCGCAGCCUCGUGUGACUGUCACCGCUGUCACUGCCCUUCCCGAGUCUGCGACUGGUCAAGUUCUGGGCUCUUGCCAAGUUCAUGGACCAGCAGGUGCAGAACAUUGUGCAGAAGGUGGCCAGGGCCAGGAUUCAGCAGAAGGGCAGGAUUCAGCAGGAGUACUAGGGGACAACAAUGAGGGCUUCCUCAAGCGCUGGCUGGACCAUCAAAAGUGUUCCACCAGCCAUGCUCUGUGAGGGGUCUCAAACGUGGAUUCCAGCGCUAUGAAGAUGCAACUGGCUGGCGUCGGACCGGAUGCGGCAUCUGCCAGCCAGGCGAGACCAAGCACCGCGAGAGAAGAAUAUACAGCAGUCUACCUGCAAGACUCUGAGCAAGAGCAUUGUACGAUGGUGGUAUGCAACCACCAUAGUUCCCAAAUUUGUAAAUUUGGGAACUGUGGCCUAAAUUUGUACUUCCGACUAUAUUAAACCCAGUGUUUUUUUAAUUGCCCAAAA
rnacentral:lncRNA from 1 species